UAGCAAACACUUCUUAGAGGGACAAUCUGUGCUCAGCAGAAGGAAGAUUGAGGCAAUAACAGGUCAGUGAUGCCCUUAGAUGAUCUGGGCUGCACGCGCGCUACAAUGGUGCAUUCAACGAGUUCAACCUGGCUUGAAAAGGCUGGGUAAUCUUUAAAGUGCAUCAAAGUUGGGCUAGAUGAUUGCAAUUAUUCAUCUUCAACAAGGAAUAUCUAGUAAAUGCAAGUCAUCAACUUGCGUUGAUUACGUCCCUGCCCUUUGUACACACCGCCCGUCGCUUCUACCGAUUGAAUAAUCCGGUGAAUUGAGUGG
rnacentral:rRNA from 1 species